rnacentral:tRNA from 1 species
GCCUGGCUGGCUCAGUUGGUAGAGCAUGUGACUCUUGAUCUUGGGGUUGUGAGUUUGAGCCCCAUGUUAGUCA